rnacentral:rRNA from 1 species
AGGGUGCGUAGGCGGGCAAUUAAGUCAGUGGUGAAAUCUUGGGGCUCAACCCCGAAACUGCCAUUGAUACUAUUUGUCUUGAAUACUGUGGAGGGUUAGCGGAAUAUGUCAUGUAGCGGUGAAAUGCUUAGAUAUGACAUAGAACACCGAUUGCGAAGGCAGCUGGCUACACAAGCAUUGACGCUGAGGCACGAAAGCGUGGGGAUCAAACAGGAUUAGAUACCCGGGGU